GGAAUUUUCCGCAAUGGGCGAAAGCCUGACGGAGCAACGCCGCGUGAGGGAUGAAGGCCUCUGGGCUGUAAACCUCUUUUAUCAAGGAAGAAGAUCUGACGGUACUUGAUGAAUAAGCCACGGCUAAUUCCGUGCCAGCAGCCGCGGUAAUACGGGAGUGGCAAGCGUUAUCCGGAAUUAUUGGGCGUAAAGCGUCCGCAGGCGGUCUUGUAAGUCUGUUGUUAAAGCGUGGAGCUUAACUCCAUUUCAGCAAUGGAAACUGUAAGACUAGAGUGUGGUAGGGGCAGAGGGAAUUCCCGGUGUAGCGGUGAAAUGCGUAGAUAUCGGGAAGAACACCAGUGGCGAAGGCGCUCUGCUGGGCCAUMACUGACGCUCAUGGACGAAAGCCAGGGGAGCGAAAGGGAUUAGAUACCCCAGUAGUC
rnacentral:rRNA from 1 species